GUGCUCACUUCGGCAGCACAUAUACUAAAAUUGGAAUGAUACAGAGAAGAUUAGCAUGGCCCAUACACAAAGAUGACAUCCAUAUUCAUUGAGCAUUCCAUAUUUCU
ensembl:snRNA U6 U6 spliceosomal RNA